rnacentral:rRNA from 1 species
UACGUAGGGUGCGAGCGUUAAUCGGAAUUACUGGGCGUAAAGCGUGCGCAGGCGGUUUUGUAAGCCAGAUGUGAAAUCCCCGGGCUUAACCUGAGAAUGGCAUUUGGGACUGCAAGGCUUGAGUGCGGCAGAGGAGACUGGAAUUCCCGGUGUAGCAGUGAAAUGCGUAGAUAUCGGGAGGAAUACCGAUGGCGAAGGCAGGUCUCUGGGCUGACACUGACGCUCAUGCACGAAAGCGUGGGGAGCAAACAGG